GAUGAACGCUGGCGGCGUGCCUAAUACAUGCAAGUCGAGCGAACGGACGAGAAGCUUGCUUCUCUGAUGUUAGCGGCGGACGGGUGAGUAACACGUGGAUAACCUACCUAUAAGACUGGGAUAACUUCGGGAAACCGUAGCUAAUACCGGAUAAUAUUUUGAACCGCAUGGUUCAAAAGUGAAAGACGGUCUUGCUGUCACUUAUAGAUGGAUCCGCGCUGCAUUAGCUAGUUGGUAAGGUAACGGCUUACCAAGGCAACGAUGCAUAGCCGACCUGAGAGGGUGAUCGGCCACACUUGAACUGAGACACGGUCCAGACUCCUACGGGAAGCAGCAGUAGGGAAUCUUCCGCAAUGGGCGAAAGCCUGACGGAGCAACGCCGCGUGAGUGGUGAAGGUCUUCGGAUCGUAAAACUCUGUUAUUAGGGAAGAACAUAUGUGUAAGUAACUGUGCACAUCUUGACGGUACCUAAUCAGAAAGCCACGGCUAACUACGUG
rnacentral:rRNA from 1 species